AUGCACGCUGGCGGCGUGCCUCAUCCCUGCCAGUCGCGCGAACAGACGAGGAGCUUGCUCCUCUGACGUUAGCGGCGGACGGGUGAGUAACACGUGGAUAACCUACCUAUAAGACUGGGAUAACUUCGGGAAACCGGAGCUAAUACCGGAUAAUAUAUUGAACCGCAUGGUUCAAUAGUGAAAGACGGUUUUGCUGUCACUUAUAGAUGGAUCCGCCCCGCAUUAGCUAGUUGGUAAGGUAACGGCUUACCAAGGCAACGAUGCGUAGCCGACCUGAGAGGGUGAUCGGCCACACUGGAACUGAGACACGGUCCAGACUCCUACGGGAGGCAGCAGUAGGGAAUCUUCCGCAAUGGGCGAAAGCCUGACGGAGCAACGCCGCGUGAGUGAUGAAGGUCUUCGGAUCGUAAAACUCUGUUAUUAGGGAAGAACAAAUGUGUAAGUAACUAUGCACGUCUUGACGGUACCUAAUCAGAAAGCCACGGCUAACUACGUG
rnacentral:rRNA from 1 species